rnacentral:rRNA from 1 species
GAUGAACGCUGGCGGCGUGCCUAAUACAUGCCAGUCGAGCGAACAGACGAGGAGCUUGCUCCUCUGACGUUAGCGGCGGACGGGUGAGUAACACGUGGAUAACCUACCUAUAAGACUGGGAUAACUUCGGGAAACCGGAGCUAAUACCGGAUAAUAUAUUGAACCGCAUGGUUCAAUAGUGAAAGACGGUUUUGCUGUCACUUAUAGAUGGAUCCGCGCCGCAUUAGCUAGUUGGUAAGGUAACGGCUUACCAAGGCAACGAUGCGUAGCCGACCUGAGAGGGUGAUCGGCCACACUGGAACUGAGACACGGUCCAGACUCCUACGGGAGGCGGCAGUAGGGAAUCUUCCGCAAUGGGCGAAAGCUUGACGGAGCAACGCCGCGUGAGUGAUGAAGGUCUUCGGAUCGUAAAACUCUGUUAUUAGGGAAGAACAAAUGUGUAAGUAACUAUGCACGUCUUGACGGUACCUAAUCAGAAAGCCACGGCUAACUACGUG